ensembl:snRNA U7 U7 small nuclear RNA
AGGUGUUAUUGCUCUUUGAGAAUUUUUCUAGCAGGGUCAGGCACGAUGGUACAUUUCUGUAACCCAA